GAAGGGGGCUAGCGUUGCUCGGAAUCACUGGGCGUAAAGGGUGCGUAGGCGGGUCUUUAAGUCAGGGGUGAAAUCCUGGAGCUCAACUCCAGAACUGCCUUUGAUACUGAGGAUCUUGAGUUCGGGAGAGGUGAGUGGAACUGCGAGUGUAGAGGUGAAAUUCGUAGAUAUUCGCAAGAACACCAGCGGCGAAGGCGGCUCACUGGCCCGAUACUGACGCUGAGGCACGAAAGCGUGGGGAGCAAACAGGAUUAGAUACCCCGGUAGUCCCCCCCGUAAACGAUGAAUGCCAGCCGUUAGUGGGUUUACUCACUAGUGGCGCAGCUAACGCUUUAAGCAUUCCGCCUGGGGAGUACGGUCGCAAGAUUA
rnacentral:rRNA from 1 species